UUGUGACUUUUUAUAAUUUCCACUCUCUGUUUUUGUUCAAAUGACUGUAUCAGAACAGCAGUCUGGCUUACAGCAGAUACUUCAUCACUGCCAGAAAUAUUUAUUAUGUUAUUUUGAACAUGUUUAUUCCUAUUUCUGAGGAACUGCUUACCCGAGGACCACCAGAUUUGAAUUCUGCAAUUUUCGAGCUGCUACUGGCUAAUUUCUUCUCAAUAAUAUGCAGAGUCGCAUCUUCAACUUCCCUUGGAAUCGAUUCAACAUCAUUAAUUCUGAAGAUGUCAUUAACAGUGAUGGCAGUUGGUGUUUUUUGAAAGCAAAGACUUUCAUGUUCUUGUCUGCUCUUUUCAUCAUGCACAUUAAAUGUAGAACCACAUGAAUUUUUGCAGGCAAUCACAAUACACUUUAGCAUGUCAGCUACGUUUACAGAUUUUUCAAUUUUUUGAAAAUUAGUGCCACACACUGGACACAUAGGCCUAGUCAAUAGUUUUCACUCAAUCUUGGGCAGGAUGCAGUUCAUUCAAAAUGAAUGCUGGCAUUUUUGAAUGUAUACAGGAAAUUUUUGUAUGUUAUUACAAAUAUUGCAUAUGCACAAUUUAAGAUAAGGAUUUAUUUCAUUAUCCAAAUUUUCUACAUUGUAUAUAUUGUGUGGAAAAGUGUCAAUGUAAUUGUCCUGAAUUUUUUGCAAAAUAUCUCGUGUCCA